rnacentral:rRNA from 1 species
AUAACGACUCUCGGCAACGGAUAUCUAGGCUCUCGCAUCGAUGAAGAACGUAGCAAACUGCGAUACUUGGUGUGAAUUGCAGAAUCCCGUGAACCAUCGAGUCUUUGAACGCAAGUUGCGCCCGAAGCCAUCAGGCCGAGGGCACGUCUGCCUGGGCGUCACGC